rnacentral:rRNA from 1 species
GACGAACGCUGGCGGCGUGCCUAAUACAUGCAAGUAGAACGCUGAAGGAGGAGCUUGCUUCUCUGGAUGAGUUGCGAACGGGUGAGUAACGCGUAGGUAACCUGCCUGGUAGCGGGGGAUAACUAUUGGAAACGAUAGCUAAUACCGCAUAAUAGUAGAUGUCGCAUGACAUUUGCUUAGAAGGUGCAAUUGCAUCACUACCAGAUGGACCUGCGUUGUAUUAGCUAGUUGGUGAGGUAACGGCUCACCAAGGCAACGAUACAUAGCCGACCUGAGAGGGUGAUCGGCCACACUGGGACUGAGACACGGCCCAGACUCCUACGGGAGGCAGCAGUAGGGAAUCUUCGGCAAUGGACGGAAGUCUGACCGAGCAACGCCGCGUGAGUGCAGAAGGUUUUCGGAUCGUAAAGCUCUGUUGUAAGAGAAGAACGAGUGUGAGAGUGGAAAGUUCACACUGUGACGGUAUCUUACCAGAAAGGGACGGCUAACUACGUG